rnacentral:rRNA from 1 species
AUUGAACGCUGGCGGCAGGCUUAACACAUGCAAGUCGAGCGAGCGGCGGACGGGUGAGUAAUGUCUGGGAAACUGCCUGAUGGAUGGGGAUAACUACUGGAAACGGUAGCUAAUACCGCAUACCAUCCGCUGUUCCCAUAUGGGAUUAGCUAGUAGGUGGGGUAAUGGCUCACCUAGGCGACGAUCCCUAGCUGGUCUGAGAGGAUGACCAGCCACACUGGAACUGAGACACGGUCCAGACUGUUAGAGGUGUCAAAGGGGGGGAAUGUUUCACAAUGGGUGAAAGUCUGAUGCAGCCAUGCCGCGUUUGUGAAGAAGGCCAUAGGGUUGUAAUGCACUUUAAGCAAGGAGGCGGUACUCGCAGAAGAAGCAAUGGCAAACGCCGGGCCAGCAGCCGCGGUAAUAC